GUAUUUUGUUAAAGCUCCAUAGAGCCAACUGACAUGCGUUUAAACUGGUAUUAGUGUAUAUGAAGAGACAAGCCGACUCAGUUUCAAACCCUUGCAGGCUUGAAACGACUCCAGUUCCAAAGGAUCUGGGAGGGACUCGUCAAGGUGCACAAAUGGUGUGUAUGGAUUGAAAUAGAGAGCGAGCACAUUGCCUUGAAUAAAGCCAGCUACAACUCUCAGUUCAUACUAUAAUGAUCCUUCCGCAGGUUCACCUACGGAAA
rnacentral:misc_RNA from 1 species